CUUGGUCAUUUAGAGGAAGUAAAAGUCGUAACAAGGUCUCCGUUGGUGAACCAGCGGAGGGAUCAUUACCGAGUUUACAACUCCCAAACCCCUGUGAACAUACCUAUACGUUGCCUCGGCGGAUCAGCCCGCGCCCCGUAAAAAGGGACGGCCCGCCCGAGGACCCCUAAACUCUGUUUUUAGUGGAACUUCUGAGUAAAACAAACAAAUAAAUCAAAACUUUCAACAACGGAUCUCUUGGUUCUGGCAUCGAUGAAGAACGCAGCAAAAUGCGAUAAGUAAUGUGAAUUGCAGAAUUCAGUGAAUCAUCGAAUCUUUGAACGCACAUUGCGCCCGCCAGUAUUCUGGCGGGCAUGCCUGUUCGAGCGUCAUUUCAACCCUCAAGCUCUGCUUGGUGUUGGGACUCGCGGUAACCCGCGUUCCCCAAAUCGAUUGGCGGUCACGUCGAGCUUCCAUAGCGUAGUAAUCAUACACCUCGUUACUGGUAAUCGUCGCGGCCACGCCGUAAAACCCCAACUUCUGAAUGUUGACCUCGGAUCAGGUAGGAAUACCCGCUGAACUUAAGCAUAUCAAUAAGCGGAG
rnacentral:rRNA from 1 species